CAUGGUGCCAUGAUGACUCCAGAUCACUGACACACAGACAAAAAACUAGGGGGUGAAAGGCCAAUGAGUGGUGGGAAGGAAAGGGAAAGAAGCUUCCAGAUUCUUCUACCCGGAGGCCCUGGUAGUUGGCUCUCGCCAGACAAUGUAAACUGGCACUACAAGUGGAAUAGACCAGACGUUUAUUUUCUGGGCUAGGGGUAAGAAUGCAGCAGUGAACAUGGUUCCUGCACUCAUGAAGCAAAUGUAUCCACUGUGGUACAAAAGAGACUGUAAAAAACAAACCCAAAUGGACAACAGGCAAUUUGAGUUACUCCAAUAAAUUCAAAUAUGGGCCAGAGUUCUGAACCAUCCUGUGACAAGUCUAGUUACCCUAAAGCUGUCAUGCAGGAGAGACCAUGUGGAGAGAAGGAGAGUUAGAGAGAGGAGGAGCCCCUGCUGUU
rnacentral:lncRNA from 1 species